rnacentral:lncRNA from 1 species
CCGGGGGCAGCGGCACCUUUGCCUUCCCGCCCUCGUCCGGGGUUUCCGGGCAGCUGGGGGCGCACGCUGGCUGCGAGGCCAUCUCGGAGCCUGGCCCGCGGGACGCCCACCCCCGGCACCUCGGCGGGGCCGCGAACGGUGGCGCCACGCGCUGAGGCCUCGACCCUGCGGCCUGCACCUGCGCCCUGCACCUGCGGCCGCACUAGGCUCUGCGCCUGCGCCCCGCGCCCUGCGCCUGCGCUCUGCACCUGCGGCCUGCACCCUGCACUGCACUCAGCGCCUGCGCCUUGCACGGAGGCCUGCGCCCUGCACUGCACUCUGCGCCUCCGCCCUGCACCUGCGCUCUGCGCCCUGCACCAGGCUCUGCGCCUGCGGCCUACGCCCUGCACCUGCGGCCUGCGCCCUGCACCAGACUCUGCGCCUGCGGCCUACGCUCUGCACCUGCGCCCUGCGCCCUGCACUAGGCUCUGCGCCUGCGCCCUGCACCUGCGGCCUGCGCCCUGCACUGCACUCAGCGCCUGUGCUCUGCACCUGCGGCCUGUGGCCUGCGCCCUGCACUGCACUCUGUACCUGCGCCCUGCACCAGGCUCUGUGCCUGCGCCCUGCACCAGGCUCUGCGCCUGCGGCCUACGCCCUGCACCUGCGGCCUGCGCCCUGCACUGCACUCUGCGCCUCCGCCCUGCACCUGCGCUCUGCGCCCUGCACCAGGCUCUGCGCCUGCGGCCUACGCCCUGCACCUGCGGCCUGCGCCCUGCACCAGACUCUGCGCCUGCGGCCUACGCUCUGCACCUGCGCCCUGCGCCCUGCACUAGGCUCUGCGCCUGCGCCCUGCACCUGCGGCCUGCGCCCUGCACUGCACUCAGCGCCUGUGCUCUGCACCUGCGGCCUGUGGCCUGCGCCCUGCACUGCACUCUGUACCUGCGCCCUGCACCAGGCUCUGUGCCUGCGCCCUGCACCAGGCUCUGCGCCUGCGGCCUACGCCCUGCACCUGCGGCCUGCGCCCUGCACUGCACUCUGCGCCUCCGCCCUGCACCUGCGCCCUGCGCCCUGCACCAGGCUCUGCGCCUGCGGCCUAUGCCCUGCACCUGCGCCCUGCGCCCUGCACUAGGCUCUGCGCCUGCGCCCUGCACCUGCAGACUGCGCCCUGCACUGCACUCAGCGCCUGCGCUCUGCACUGCACUCUGCGCCUGCGCCCUGCGCCUGUGUCCUGUGCCCGCAGCCUGCGCUGUGCUCUGCGCCUGCGGCCUGCACCCUACCUGCGCCCUGCACCUGCGCUGUGCCCUGCGCCUGCAGCCCACGCCUGUGCCCUGCACUGGCGGCCUGCGCCCUACCUGUGCCCUACAGCUACGCCUGCGGCCUGCGCCCAACACGUGCGCUCUGCGGCCUGCGCCCUGUGCUCUAUGCCCUGCACCUGUGCUCUGUGCCCUGUGGCCUGCACCUGCGCCUUGUGCCCACUUCCCAGGAAUGACACGUCCCCCGCUCUCCCAGGCACUGUGGUCUCCUCGCCUGCCGUCCACGCCGAGCACGCUUAUGCCCAGAAAAACGGGCUUCCAGCCCUGGGCACAGAAUGAUUGA